rnacentral:rRNA from 1 species
AGAGUUUGAUCCUGGCUCAGGAUGAACGCUAGCGACAGGCUUAACACAUGCAAGUCGAGGGGCAUCAUGAGGUAGCAAUACCUUGAUGGCGACCGGCGCACGGGUGAGUAACGCGUAUGCAACCUGCCUGAUACCGGGGUAUAGCCCAUGGAAACGUGGAUUAACACCCCAUAGUACUUUUAUCCUGCAUGGGAUGUGAGUUAAAUGUUUAAGGUAUCGGAUGGGCAUGCGUCCUAUUAGUUAGUUGGCGGGGUAACAGCCCACCAAGACGAUGAUAGGUAGGGGUUCUGAGAGGAAGGUCCCCCACAUCGGAACUGAGACACGGUCCAAACUCCUACGGGAGGCAGCAGUGUGGAAUAUUGGUCAAUGGACGCGAGUCUGAACCAGCCAAGUAGCGUGAAGGAUGACUGCCCUAUGGGUUGUAAACUUCUUUUAUAUGGGAAUAAAGUGGUCCACGUGUGGACUUUUGUAUGUACCAUAUGAAUAAGGAUCGGCUAACUCCGUGCCAGCAGCCGCGGUAAUACGGAGGAUCCGAGCGUUAUCCGGAUUUAUUGGGUUUAAAGGGAGCGUAGGCGGAUUGUUAAGUCAGUUGUGAAAGUUUGCGGCUCAACCGUAAAAUUGCAGUUGAUACUGGCAGUCUUGAGUGCAGUAGAGGUGGGCGGAAUUCGUGGUGUAGCGGUGAAAUGCUUAGAUAUCACGAAGAACUCCGAUUGCGAAGGCAGCUCACUGGAGUGUAACUGACGCUGAUGCUCGAAAGUGUGGGUAUCAAACAGGAUUAGAUACCCUGGUAGUCCACACAGUAAACGGUGAAUACUCGCUGUUUGCGAUAUACAGUAAGCGGCCAAGCGAAAGCAUUAAGUAUUCCACCUGGGGAGUACGCCGGCAACGGUGAAACUCAAAGGAAUUGACGGGGGCCCGCACAAGCGGAGGAACAUGUGGUUUAAUUCGAUGAUACGCGAGGAACCUUACCCGGGCUUAAAUUGCAAAUGAAUUAUGGGGAAACCCAUACGCCGCAAGGCAUUUGUGAAGGUGCUGCAUGGUUGUCGUCAGCUCGUGCCGUGAGGUGUCGGCUUAAGUGCCAUAACGAGCGCAACCCUUAUCUUCAGUUACUAACAGGUCAUGCUGAGGACUCUGGAGAGACUGCCGUCGUAAGAUGUGAGGAAGGUGGGGAUGACGUCAAAUCAGCACGGCCCUUACGUCCGGGGCUACACACGUGUUACAAUGGGGGGUACAGAAGGCCGCUACCUGGUGACAGGAUGCCAAUCCCAAAAACCUCUCUCAGUUCGGAUCGAAGUCUGCAACCCGACUUCGUGAAGCUGGAUUCGCUAGUAAUCGCGCAUCAGCCAUGGCGCGGUGAAUACGUUCCCGGGCCUUGCACACACCGCCCGUCA